rnacentral:rRNA from 1 species
UACGUAGGGACCAAGCGUUGUUCGGAUUUACUGGGCGUAAAGGGCGCGUAGGCGGCGGACACAGUCAGACGUGAAAUUCCUGGGCUCAACCUGGGGGCUGCGUUUGAUACAUGUCUGCUUGAGUUCGGAAGAGGGUCGGUGGAAUUCCCAGUGUAGAGGUGAAAUUCGUAGAUAUUGGGAAGAACACCGGUGGCGAAGGCGGCGACCUGGUCCGAUACUGACGCUGAGGCGCGAAAGCGUGGGGAGCAAACAGG